UCUCCGUCCCGGCCACUCCACUGGCCCAGGAUCCAAAAUAACUCCGCAGACACAAAUUUCCAACAAAAAAUCCCCUCGCAUGUCUCCCAGGGAAGAAGUAUAGCUCCUAUAAUUAAAAGAGGCCACCGCCGGAGGGGGAAUGCUGCCUACAGCCAAAACCAAAGAAAGUAAGAGUUUUAUUUACUUGCUGACUGAACUGGACUGUCAUGAGCAGCAGGUUUACCCACACUGAAGUCUGAGGUGUGUCCUGAGUGCGCAGCAACUUGAGUCCAUGUGACAGUGAAGAAGGAAGAGGACACAAAUUCAAACAGCUGACACAGUGAUCAGCGGCAACUGGCGGUAUCUCAUUUGAUAUUUGAUAUCAAGCACUAGAUCAAUAUUUGUGAGAUCAAUGCAAUUUCAAUGGUUUUCUUUCAAAACUGCAUGAAAGCCAAAUCAUGUCACUCUGAACUAUUGUUAUUUUUAGAGCUGGUUAUUCCAGGGGAUGAUAUUAAGUAACUUACUGAAGCAAAACAAAAACAAAAGAGGUAGGGGUUCAGAGGUGGUAGAAAACACCCCCACACUGCAACACACUAUAUUUCUUCAGCUGAUAAUCCAGGGAAGGUACAAGCUUCUUUAAAAACCACUUACAUAUGAUUUUAAAAAGAUGGAAAGCUUUUGAAAGAUUACCAGGAGGCAUGUGAGGGUGAGUGGGCCAGAGACAACUUUUCAGAUAGUGUAAGAAUUAGGUGGUAUCUGAACAAAGACAAACAUACAUGACAGAAGGGGGAGACUCUGUUCUUCCCCUCAUGUGUAGAGUUGAGUGGGAAAUGACAGACUUUUCUCCAUUCUUGGAAGAGUAGAACAGAAAGCUUUCACAAAGGGAAAGCAGAGAAAAGGUAACUAUAAAUAUUGUCUAUUAUUUUUCUUCCAAGAGUUUCUUCCUUAAUUGAAAUGUCAUUUAUCUGGCCCAGAAGAACACAGUUUUCUAACCUUUAGUUCUAUUUGAACAAAAUUCUAAACUUGGGUUUACUGGUUUUUACAGAUUUCCCUUUGAGGAGUUUCUACCUAGAGGAAUCCCAGGCCUUCAGUCCAGACAGAAACUCCUGGGAGGGUGUCAGAGGGUAUGAGCAGCAUCUCACUAGGACAGUACAAAGGUGACAAUCACACUCCUUUCCAAGCAGAGGUGUGAUUUCUCAGAUGAUCAGAACCAGAAAAAAUAGUUUUCAUUCAUAAUUCAACUUGAAUUUAAAACUUGGGGGCAAGGAAUUUGCUUUUCAUUGAAAUAAUGGCAACAAUUUAGGAAGUUUCUGAUCCCCAACUCUAAAGACCUCUCAAUAUUCAGACAGAAUAAAAUACUUGGAACGCCACCAUUCUCAGCUUCUCCCAAGUGCUUCUCUUUUCUUGGGUCUAGCAUGUUGUCUGAAGAAACUUUAAGUAAAGUUCAUAGUCCAGUGCUUUUACAAAAGUGCGCUGGCCACCUUGUGCUCCUUAAGAAACUAAGUAGAGACAGAAUUUUCCAGGGUUUUAAUAACUCCAUAAAAAAACAACCACCACCACCCAUGGUCUGCAUGUGUCUUUAUGCUCUUUUGUAUUCAAAAUUGGCAGAGUGCCUACAAACUAAAGACAUUAGCAGUUUAAAUCAAUUUUCUUUAAUGAAAUAAAGCCAACCUUAAACACAGACAUGUAUUAUAUGCCAGCAGAAAUUUACAGAUGCAAAACAAGCUUGAGAUAUUUAAAAAUAUUUAUUGCAAUGCCUUGAAGAUUUUGAGCAUGAAAAAUCUAUUUCAUAAAAAAUUACAAACUUUCAUGGAGACCAGCACAUACAGAGCACCUACUAUGUUACAGGCACUAAAUAGACAUACAAAUAUUGUAUAUGUCAUCUGUAAAUUUCAGUUGAAAUGAACAGGAAUGAACAUAAGUACUCCAUACAAAGCUAUGUAUACAUGAGACAUAUAUAUGCGUAUAUGCACAUAACUUUUUUCUAUUUGGUCUUAAAAACCCUGAGGUAUUUUAAGGAAGGAAAUGAACUUUAUAUCAAAUAGUAAUUAAUUUGGAAUUCAUUUUGGCAAAUCAUAAUCUGACCAAUACUUUUCCUCACAGUAUGAAGAAUUUUAAGGUUUAGUGCAGCAAAAAUGCUGUUCUUCUUAAUCCACUUUGAAGCAACAUUGGUGAGUCUACAACCACAUCUACAUGUUAAUCUCUGGUUUUGCCUUCAAACAGAACUGUUACAAAGAACUCGGAAAGAUUUUGAAUCUAUUCAGGAGAGGAAAACUCUUUAAUUUUCUGAGGAGUAAAAACUCACCAAGAAACUUCAUAUAGCUUCUUAGGUUUUGCUUCGCAUACGUGAUAAAACAUUGAUUGUUGCAGUCUGGUGACCCAUGAAAUUUGGGGGUUAGUUUUCUCUUCAGACCAGAGCAUAUAAUUAUGCAAAUAAAGAGCUGUCACUGAUCUAGUGAAAUACUCACAAACACAUGCACUCUGAAAUUGGACGGAAAGUGAGAAUGGUUUGUGAUGUGACGGUGCCUGCCGUGGCUUGCUUUCCUGCCAACUUUCUAUCUGAGUUCAUUAUUCAAAUUGUAAACUUUAAAGAGAUAUCAUUUUUGGGGUGCUGGGUGUUUUUUAUUUCAGAUUCUUUGCUUUGGUCACAGAGUAAGUUCAAUAUCAUUUCACCUAUGACAAUUUUGCAUAACACCCAAUGUACAAGACAACACUGAACGAUCUGGAGACAGGUGCAAGACCUUUAUACAUCUCUUCCUAGAAAUAUGAUUCAUAGCUAUUUAAAGGAAGUUUAACUCCAACAAAGAAAGUAUAGUGAAAUGUUUCCGACACACUUCAAGAAAAGUUGCCUGGAAAGAUAUCAUAGAUUAAGUCAAAAAUUUCAUUUUCUAGGUUUUAUAUCCACAGGAAAAAUACUGGCCACCCUAUGAUAUCCAGUUAUUAAUCAAACCUUCAGGACAGCCUUCUCUAAAUAGCAAAUCUUAAGCUUUUGUGCUCCAUUUUCCAUCAUUAUUCCCAUAAAACCUUUAAACUGAGAACUAACAAGAAUUCUUCAUUUUAUAGGUCACAUUAGCCUUGAGUUCUCCCAGUCCCAAAGUUACCAUGACACAGGCUGUUGCAUAGUUUUAGAUGUCAUGGAGGGUCCCACUGAUGGAAUCUGAGAAGUCUAAUGUCAAACUACUGACUGCUAAAGACAUCACUUCAUGAAAGCAAUGGUGUGAAACUUUAAAAACAUUGAUCCAAAUGAAUCAAUUAAAUUAACAUCAAUCCCUUCUAAGGGUGAGUUUUAAAAAUUGUCAUUGCUAUUUUAAAAAUGCAGAUUUCAGGAUAAAUUCUGGCCAGCUUUGAUAACUAUUUCUAUUCUUGGACCCUCUCAAUACACUUUGUGUUAACCCCCUUCCAACAUCUUCCAGUUGGUGUAUAUUCUUUGAGUACAGUGCAUGGCAGUUGCAAUGGUUUAAUCUAAAACAACCUCACAAAGCUAAUGCUUUAGGUGGAGUAGCUUUAAGCUCUGUGAAGUGUUGAUUAAAAACCCUUUCCCAAACUCAAACUGAUCUUUUUGGGGGAGAUUAAUAGAGUAUUAGAUAAAAAGAAGAUGAACAAUCCUAGAGACCCCCAGUCAGUCAUUCUGCACAGGGACGGAAGGGAAGUAUUACAGGGUUUGAAGGGGGUAUGUCUCAGCGUCUUUUAUUUAACACAAUUAUGCUGGAGGGUAUAUAAGGAGUCACCACAAUUAUCCCCCUUUGCCACCCAUCUUUCAAGUACAUGAAUGCCUCAGGUUUGUUUUUUUCAGUCUCUCCCCACAAGAUAUGAGAAAAGUUGCCAAAAAAUUUACACUGUGAAAUUUUAUACUGUGAAAGUUACUUAAUAGUAAUUUUUCUUAACAGCUUCCAACAGGAGCCUAUCAGUUAGCAAUCUAAACAAUGAUUACAACAUAUAAGAUACAUGCUUGGAUUUGAACUCUGCAAUCCAGAGAAACAUGAAAAAAAUGUAGUUUUAAAUUAGCAGUGCUAAUUAAGUUAACACUAAAUUCUGUCACCCAAACCCCCUCAAAGGUGUGAAAGGCUUCAGAAGGAAUAGCAGUAACAUGAAUGUAAACAAGCCAGUUUUGGACUGAACACACUUUAUCAAGGUCUGACCAUCAGCAUUUUGGGAACAACUUAGUCUUACCAGCUCCUUUUGAAAAAUGCAUUUACUGUAUACUAGUAGUUAUUUUAGAAAUAAUUUUAAGGACAAGUUUUUCCAAUUUCCUUACUUACAAAUUAGAAACAUUUGACUAAAAAUGUUACCUUAUGACAUGUAUGAGCCAAGUAGAGACUCAACUAAAGUCAGGAUAUUGCCUCACAGCAAUAACAAUAGUAAUAAUAACAGCUAUAGGGCUUAUAAUUUGAUGAAUAUAGUCCAGUUACUCCUUCUAGGUCUCACCUUUGAAAGCCUCUGCAGGUGAUGAAAAAAACUGAGGAGGAAAGAUACACAGUUGCUUGUUGGAAAACUUUUUUAUUUUAAAAUGUUAAACAGAAAAGACAUUAAAGGAAACUCCUGUGCUUUGUUUAUUUUUGACAUAUAAGCAAUGCAGCAUUCCAGGAAGCACAAGGCAGAAGCGUGAGGAAAGGACAAUUGUUAUGAGUAGAUGGUCUUUCACACACUCAGGCUGGCUUUCAAGGACUUCUUGUCAGGUCCCUUUUAGAAAGAUCCAAAGCAACUGCCUGGCACUGAAGCUUCAUCAGGACUGUUCUGCAUCUCCAAUUUAUGUCUUUCUCAAUCUUUUUACUCUAAGAAAUAAGCAUAUGAGUAAAGAAAAUUAAAAAAGCCCACAGUCUACCUUCAGACCACCACGGGCCUAGAAUCUUUUAAAGGAAACUACAGGGAGAAGAGCUGUUAUUAACACUGGCCACUGAGGUGAAUAGUAUUAUUAUACAUAUACGGAUAGCAUCCCAAUCAACAGGUUAAGAAACCCUACAUUAUAAGGAAUCACUUAUCAUUGGAAGGCUUUGCCUGGCUCCCUCUGGGUUGCUACAGUGCAGAUCCAUAAGUAGUAACAGACAUUUACAAAAUAUAGCUUUGUAAACAGCUCUCUAUCAGAUAGACAACAAGGUUACAAUUCAGAGAUUGUGAACAACUCAUCUUAAGGAAGCAGUGACUUUCUCUGUAAAACUGAGGGACCUGGAGGAGGGCCAGGAGCCCUCUGGUUCAGAAGCUCAGCACAUUUACUUUCCUUCAAUUCAGCAGCAGAAGCUUCCCAAAUUUAUCUCUGCCUGAGUGAUGAUUUUGUCUUAAUGUCACAAAAUUAGUUUCUUGUGCAUAUUUUCAUAUAUUGAAAACACCAGAUAAUUUAUAGCAUUUGGUAAGAUGUAUUCAACCCACACCACUUUUUCAAAGCCAGUCAUUGAGAGGACAGCAUUAUCUUUACAGAGUUCACCAAUCCCUCUACAAUUAGAAACGAGAAGGGCCACUAUGACAGAGCACUGUGCUUGACAUUAUUGGAGUAACACAUUUUAAACGGCUCAGGAGUUGGAUAAAAUGCCAUUUUGAUCUUCCUCUUAAUAAGUAAUAUCAGAAGAUGUCCAGACACGAUCACUGGUCCUUUACUUCCCAGGUAUUGAAAACACAGAACUAUUGAGUGCAUUUAUAUGUCAAACAACAUGGGAUAUUAACAGUUCUAAAACUUUCUGAAAUCAGUUCACAGUGUUAAAAAAAUUCUCCAUAAGUGUGUUGAGUUCUGGUUACUCUGAGGCAUUAGGCAGUGCCUGAGUAUCAUUUUGUAUAUACUUUUGCAUGUUUUCAAAUAAGACAGACUCAUUACUUGUUGCAUUCACUUAAGAAAGGAUUGGAAGUAUUAAAUUCACAAUCUCACCCACUGGAUAGGAUCUUCACUAAUUAUUCAAGUAAUUCAUGUUUAAUGUUUUAAUUUGAAAGCCAGCAAAAUGUCAACUUAUUUUACCUUCUGUAUUUUACAGUGUUCCACAGAUCCCAGUUGGGGUAAAGGACCUAACAGUUGGAAUUAUAGGACAACACCCUAUCAGAGGAAGUGGAACACUAAAAAUUGUGUACCUAAAAGAGAAAAUCAUUCUCUUUUCCUAUUGUAGAUGAAAACUGACGCACUGUAACCUUACAUAGCCUUUCAGAAGGAUUGGAGUAUGCAGUUUCAUUUUCUUGAUAGCAAAAAAAAAUCCUGUAUCUGAAAAGGUUCACUUACAAGAAAGGUCAAAGUACACUUAGUACAGAUUAGUAACUACCACCAACUCUCUGCACCGUAAUACACAGAGAGCAAGCCUUAAGUGUAUUUUCUAAGUGCCACAAAUCAUGUUACACAUUUAACAGUAGGCUCAGUUAUGUAAGUUAGAAAUUUCACUGAAAAUGGGGCCUCAUACCUACAUCUAAAAUAGUUGCUUAUGUUUUCAUUUGAACAUUCUCUCCGGAAGUCAGAGACAUGAAAACUCUCCCUCAACUCGGCAGGAACGUCCAGAAAAAAGGACUCGAAUUCAGUACUCUAUGUAUUUCUAUGCAGUUUUUCUUUUGGUCUUGAAAGGAAAUAGGUCCGUUACAGGGAGGGAAUAAUUUGUAUUCCCCAAACUACAUAGUACAUACAUCAUGGCAUUCGUGUUCUCAAUUUAAAGUUGGCAUUUCUAGGA